AAAGCUCAAAUUUAAAAUCUGGUAGUCUUUGGCUAUCCGAGUUGUAAUCUAGAGAAGUGUUAUCCGCGCUGGACCGUGUACAAGUCUCCUGGAAUGGAGCGUCACAGAGGGUGAGAAUCCCGUCUUUGACACGGACUGCCAGGGCUUUGUGAUGCGCUCUCAAAGAGUCGAGUUGUUUGGGAAUGCAGCUCAAAAUGGGUGGUAAAUUCCAUCUAAAGCUAAAUAUUGGCGAGAGACCGAUAGCGAA
rnacentral:rRNA from 1 species